rnacentral:tRNA from 1 species
GCGGGCUUAGCUCAGCUGGUAGAGCUCCAGCUUCCCAAGCUGGAGGUCGCGGGUUCGAGUCCCGUAGCCCGCUCCA